rnacentral:lncRNA from 1 species
UUUUUUUUUUUUUUUUUUUUGGGUGGAGAAUUUCCUUUUUUUUUGGUACGAUUAAAGGAGAAUUUCCAAGUGGAGGUAUGUUUGUGGUUGACUUCACUGACUCAACUAGUUAAGUUGUGGGGGCUUAGGGUUAGAACUUAGAGGGGGUAGAGGAUGUUGACUUUUUUCCCUUUGAGGAAGUUGACUUCCCUUAAUGUAUUUUUAAAUCAUAUCCCUCUUACUUUCUUUCACUUUCUUUCUUUCUCAUUCUUUGUUGGGACCUUUUUAUUUUUUAUUUUUUUGGGAGUGCAUUGUCAACUCUUCCUCUUUCUAUUACCUUCUUCCACUCAGCCUUUUCCUUUUUGGAUUUAAUAUUGUUUUCUCUCUUUUUUUUUUGGUUUGGAUGCUUGGUAGGAUGUGGCUUGGGAAGUUUCGGUGCAAGAAGGGAGAACGUGUGGAACUAAAAAACGGUUAAAUACAGUUGGCAACGCUUUGACAAUGCAACAAAGAAUUGAAUAAUUCACAGAUAUUUGAAAAGGAGAUAAAAGUAAAACCGCUAGUGUAGUGUAUAGUGUAUACCCUAUCCCAAAUCAGCCGUGUAUUUUACUGCUUAGGCAAGUACUCCGCCGUAUAACACUUGGAAGUUUCUAAUUCUAGGCGCAUGUCCUUCAGAAAAAAUUCUAGCCGCACGGUUGGGAUGUCACACACCAUUUUUUUUUCAACAGCCUGAAUCAGACUUUUGUUGUUUUAUAAACCUAAUCCCAGAAUUAACCUCAAAAGCCGGCAACUCUUGAGGCAAUCCCAGGGACUUAUAUCCCAACCCAAACCCAACCCCAACCCCGAUGUGGGACAAAUGUACCUAUAGGGGGGACCUGCUGCUAAGUGGGAUACUACCACCCAAUACCCUUUCAACCCUGAGGCAAUUUGUCUUUUUUCAACAGCCUGAAUCAGACUUUUGUUGUUUUAUAAACCUAAUCCCGUCACACACCAUUAAUUAUCCACUUUGUGAACAUUCUAUUCCAAAAAGCUUCUGUGGAUUGGAUGGUAUUCAACCACCAGCGUUUGGGUUAGUGGCCACCACUUAGCUUGGUAGGGUAGCCUCCCCACCAAAAUGUCAUAUUUAAGUGGUUUAUUUCAAAAAAUUCAGCCGGAUGUGUACACUCAUUUGGUCCGAUGGUGAUUUAAUCCUCUCCGAGUUAUUCCUGAGCCUCCUUAGGUCCGCCCCCUCCCCCUUAGUGUAGAAUAGAUUAGGUUAUACAACUGUUGUCGUUUCCAAAAAAAAAAAAAAGAAAAAAAAAGAUUGGAUGGUAUUCGGUGAUAAAAUAUAAGUGAAAGAUGCUGAAUUCAAAACCUCCUAUUCACAUUUAAAAAAAAAUUUUGAUACUGAAUUCAAGACUUCUUAUUCACAAAAAAAAAUUCUGUCUAUAUCAUUAGUAUGAAUUCGGAGGAAUAAAAUUGGCCCAAUUAGUAUUGUACUAAAAAACCUAGGCCCAGCUUGAUUACAUUUUUUUUUUCACUGACAAUCAAAUAUCUUCAUACUUUGUUCUGCUAAUUAUACAUGUAGUUUUUGACUAGUAUCUAGACAGUCUUAUUUUGGUCCAAUGUUAGGAAUUAAACGGUUGAUACACAAUAUUAUAAACCUAAUAUCAUGUAGAAGUUAUUUCUCUCAUCCGAAAACACAUCCUAUUGAUAUAUAUUAGUUGAAAAAAAGGGGAAAAAAAACGAUAUUUACGCAUCCCUCUUUGAUAUUCAUGCAUUCUCACCAACUUAAAUUGGCCUUGAAUGUAAUGAAAAUUGAAGUGGUCAUAAUGUGUGGAUGCCAAAUAGAAACUUGUGAAUAUCUUUUUUUUUUUUUUUUCAAAUAUUAGUUGGUGCGCAGUUUAUGUUAGCGAGUCUUUUUUGAGAAAUAUGAAACACGGGCACUUGAUUGCAAAUAAAAAAUAUGGCUGUAAUCUAGAAAAUAAAAAGUAAUACUACUCCGAACAUAUUUAGAACAUCAAUCCCUACGUUUUAUAACUCUGCUAAUUGUUCUUGAGGUCCCUUGGUACUUCUAUAUCCACCCUAAUCAUUUCCUACCUCCAUUUCGGUUGAAUGGAGAAUAACUUGGUUCACAAUAUUUCUACAUAUUUUUAUCCAUCAAACAUCUAAAAUGCAUUUUGAUCAAGACAUUUUCAUGACUUUCGUUCCUGCUGCCUCAUGCAUCUGCUAUCAUACUCUGAAUUUUGCCAACAAGCAAACUGGAUCCUACCACUAGUUUAUCCUUCACCAUCACCCUCACCCUCACCCUCACCCUUUAUGUUUUUUUGGAUCGCCUACCUAUUUAUUUCUGUGAAAACAUAUUUACUGUGUUUGGUUCUACUUGUCAACUUCUCAUAACUCCUGUAAUUUGGUUAAAUAGAUCUUUAAACUGGGAAGAUAUGUAGACUGUAACCUAAUAAUAUACCAAAGAAAUGCUCUCAUAAAUCAGAGAAAUCAGAAAGAUACAGCAAUACCUAAAACACUUUUUUCUCUUCCUUUCUUUCUUGGCAAGGAAAAAGGGCAGCUACAAGUACAACCAGAAAAGCCUAAACGCAGAAAAUUGUCAACCUUUUCAUGUCAUGCCAGUAAUGCCAAUACAACAUUUGAAACAAAAUGUCUCCUAAAAUAAAGCAAAACAUGUUUAGGGCAUGGUUUUUAACUUGUAAUCAGUGAAACCACUGAAAACCUCAACAGUUUAGCAACUCAAACAAAUGCCAUAACAGCAGCGCCAUUGACACAAGUACUUCUGUGAGAAAACGUACUAAAGCAGAUUCCCUUGAUCAGGUCUAGUUAACAGGUUUUUUUUUCACAUUCUAUCUUCCCUCCUGCGUGGGGCACAAGUAAUGAUUUCAUCAACUCUUAAAAUCAUCUCAGCAGCCUCAGUUGCAGAGAGUAACACAGCUUGCUUAACUUUAAAUGCUUCAGAGAUUCCAAGCUCUGCCAUAUCUCCUACCUGUCAAGAUCACAAAAUACAUUUAUUUGGCAUAGACUGACACUAGAAAUUGGUGCGAGUUACAUAAUUUCACUCUAUAGGAAUAAUUAUCGACAAAGCUUUAAUUCACAUCAUCAAUGGUUCAAAUGGCAAUCAGAUCUCCAAUGAACAAACCAUAGCCUAGUUGUCCACUAUUUCACUUACAGAUCCAGAUAUGACAUCAAUCCCUGCAGCGCUUCCUUCCUCGUGAUGUUCUGCACGGAGUUGGGAAACCAAUUCAGCACUGUCCAGACCUGCAUUAUCAGCAAUAAUAGUUGGAAUGGCCAAUAAUGCUCGUGAGAAAGCUUCAAUGGCAUGAGACUUUUUCCCAGGGGUCUUCCUAGCUAGUUCAUCCACUGCUUUUGCCAUCACCAUCUCUGGCCAUCCACCUCCAAACAACACUCUACUGUCAUUUACAGUCUGAGAUAAGACACACAAGGCAUCAUGUAGGGAUCUUUCAGCUUCAUCCAGUACAUGAGAACUGCCACAAGAAUCAGGAAGACAUCAACAAAGAUAAGACAGAUGAGUAAAGAUUCCUCCAGAUCUGCAAUAGCUGACAAAAUCACUAUUAUAAUAGCCAAGCACCAUAUCACACCACAGGCAAAUGCUAAACAAUCAAAAGAGGAUGCAGGUUUGGUCAACAUAAAUGUGCUUGUAGUCUAUGCAAGCAAAUACCAAAGAGGAAACCAAAACACAUGCAUCAUUAUUUCCCUAAACUGGUCCCAAGACACUGCCUGCCAUAUAUAAUACUGUAAAGAUCAAUACAGAAAAUUCCACUUUGGAAGUUAAACAUCUAUUGCAGUAAACCUGCAUAAUUCGCAGUUCUGUGCUGGAAUCUGCAGGCUUUUGAUUUGAACUAGUAAAUACAUGCUUAAUUCACUUUUUUCAAACAACUUGUCAAUGAAGAUUAAACAAAAGAGCCAGUUGGACAUCAAAUGGCACAUUGAAUCUGUAAGCUGACUUGCCCAAAGAUGGUGCUAAUAAACUCAAGUAGAUGAUGCAAGAUACAAGAGAAGACUAGAAACAAGAGAACAUCCACAAGAACUAGACGGAAAAUUAUGCACCUGAGACAAAAAUUGUAAGAAAGAGAUCUUUCAAGAACUGGUAAACUAUCUCCAUCAAUAAAAUUGACAACCAUGACAAAGCAUGCACUAGAAAGAAAUAGGGCAUGGGAAUUGACAUGGCCUCAACCCUUGAGCUAGUCAAUGGUUUUGGAAGUUGGCUAAACCGAACUAGUCCUGGGUUUAGUAUUUAUAUAUUUUGCCCAAAUAUUUUGGGAAAAAAAAGGUCUACUUGCAGACUACAGCAACAAGACAACAUCACCUAUAGCACAGCAUAUGAUGAUAGUUAGCAGGAUAACAGCGUAAAUUGGUCAAGAAAAGUACCUUGCACCCCUAAGUACAAUUGUACAGGCCUGACCCAUUUCACAACCAGAAAAGUGGAUCAAUUUGUCCUCACCAAUCAUAAUUUCCUCAAUAAGUUUACACUGUCCAAGCUUAACAGACUCAGGAUUGUCAAAGGUUGAAGCAAUCUCCCCACCAGUAACGAGUGCAAGUCGCUCAAUACCAUCAAAAUCAGCAUGCUCUAUUGCAAGUACUCCAGCAUCAGCAAACAAUUCCUCUGGAAAAUUGUAGAUCAACUGACGGUUAACAAAACAGUUUAUCCCAUGAGCAAUAAUCUUCUGCACCUUCUCUCUCAUCUUCUCCUUUUCAGCCCCUUCAAUCUCUGCAACUUUAGACAUUGAAUCAACACGCACACGUGCCCCAUAGAUUUUCACUUUGUCUGUGUCCAUUGCAGUAUUAGCCACUAAAAUCUUUGCAUUCUCAAUUCUCUUUGGUUGACCAAUACCAAUUUUCUUGUCCAAAAUAAAUCUGCAACACAAGAUGCAGUACACAAUAAAAAGAGUCCAGAAAGAGGUUUUCAGAUCUUCAAAAAUUUAGCAGCAAGACAGCCAAAGGUGAAUGCAAAUCUCUAAAUUUAGCAUUUGGAAACAAAAAAUUGAAAAGCUUGGUGUUGUUUGUGCACAAAAGAACAUGAAAACCACUGACAAAGCAAAUCAAUCUUUUAUUCAAAGAUAUAGGAAAUAACCAUAUUAGACACCAAUAACAUACAAUAGAAUAGACCUCUGCCCCUAUACAAAACUACAAAUGAUGUUUUAAAAGUAGAGUACAUGCAUAAGGUAGCAUUUAAGGAAUUUUCUUAUAGAAGGUUAAAUGCAAAUAACAAAAUUUCUCUUCCGCAGUCAUGCAAACAACAAUAUUUCUCUUCCAUAGUCACCAUCUAUGUAUGCAUCUUUUAAGCAGAAAAAAUCCAGGAUAUUAGUCCAAGCAGCAAUAGAUCCAAAUCUUGGCAGGGUGUCCUCACAGCUCAACAAAAAGUCAAGAACAUAACCCCACUCACCACUUUCCCAACGUCAGGAAAAAGGUAAAGAGGAAUAGUAAACAAGCAAGCAAGAACAAACAAACAAACAAACAAACAAACAAGAAAAAGGCUUAAAAAGUAGCAAAUAGGAUAAAAUUGAAUAGCCUUACCCCUCAUCUAAAAAUGAAUCCUUCAGUGAACCUCCAGGUUUUUUUAUAAUUUGAAUAGCCUCCAGAUUUGUACUGCCCUGUCAUUUAGAAUUUGUCAGAAAAAGCAUAAAAGAGUGACAAAAAACCAAAACUCCAACCCACCAAAGGUACAUUUACCUUUAGCCUCAUGACAGCAUCAACAGCUAGUUUUGCAAAAUGUUCCUUGUCCUGAGACAAAAUUUUUGAACUCAAAGUAGUCAUUGCAAUCUUCAUUAAAUCUGAUUUGAAUUUCUCUGCACAGUCCAAUGAAAAAAAGAGUUAAAAUUGCUAAUGCAUAUUAAGAACAACCAAUCAGCAGUAGAUGAAGCAUCUAUGUAAAUAUGAACCCCUCUCAUGCCAGCAAAUGCAUCAAUAAGUAAAUGAAGGAGAACCACUUAAGUUUGAAGUAAUAAGGGGAAAAUCAAGUAAUAAUAGAUAGGUCAAAAGGUUGUAUAAUCACUCAAAUAUCAUACACAGCAACUAUAUCCAAUUAAAUCCCAAGAAGUAACAGUGAUACCUGCAUCUUGUUUAUUGUCAACAACCUUCUCCAACAAUGCAUUCCGAGCACAUUCAGCUGCCACACGAUAGCCUAUCGAAAGCAGUAAACCAAAUUAAGAUGAAAACUGAGCAUACAUAGGUAACUAAAUUACCUUAAGUGAGGUGACAUAGGUAACAUAAUGCUGUUAAUCCAGGACAAAAACAGAGAACAAAAUAGGACAUCAUAAGCACAUGUGCAAAAUUCAAUUGGACACUUAAACUUUCAGCUAUGCUAUAAACUAGAAGAACCAAUAGACUUGCAUGAAAUUAAGCCAACAGAUGCAACAAUAGAAGUCCCAAUAAGAAUCUAAUCAUCAUUAGAACUGUUAUCAGCAUAAUAUAAAGAGCUUUGUCAACAUCAGUGUAGGAUUGUAGUUCAAAUAAGAGACAGGACUGCAUGAUCAACAGAACAAAUGAAGAGUCCACUAUUACAAUGAGCAACAGUAGCCAUUGUCUAGGCCAUCAUAAAGAAGUCCAACUUAGACAACAUAUAUCAUAGAGUUCUAACCAUUGAAUGUCUCACAAACAGUGCAAAGAAUUGCAAAGGUACCUAAGAUCACCUACAUAAACUAUAAGAUGUAAGGAAAGCAACAAAAAUAGUGGAAUUUCAAUCAACAUUUUCUGAACUUCUGGUGUGCUAAAUGCAGACUUCCAAUUGUUUCAAGUAGUGUUAAGAUAUUAAUAAGUAUAGGGAAAAAGAUAAAUUAAAACCGACCUGAGAUGAUUGUCAUUGGAUGAAUUUUAGCAUUCACCAGCUUUUCUGCCUCCCGUAGAAGCUCCCCAGCCAAAACAACAACUGAAGUUGUCCCAUCACCUACUUCAUCAUCCUGAACUUUUGAGAUGUCUAUAUGAUGGAAUUAAAGGAACAACACCACAUGCCAUUGUUUAAUCAAUUCUUCGGCAUAACUAUUUAAUAAUAUUGUUAACAAUUAAUACUCCAAAAAGAUCACACAUCCUCAAGAGCAAAUUCAUCAAUGCACAUAAAACUCCACACUAAACAGCAGUAGAAGGGAAGAACCUUGUGGAACUAGGAACAUGGUAAGACUGAGAAGAGUCUAAGAAACAAACAAAAAGGAUACCAACAAGGACUUUUGCAGCUGGGUUGUCAAUAUGGAGGGACUUCAAGAUGGUGGCACCAUCAUUUGUAACUGUUACACUUCUUCCUCUGCCUGUUGAUUGUAAAAUCUUAUCCUGCAAAGCAGAAAUAUAAAUUAACUAAGGAAAUGCAAACAUUGCAUGUACUCAAACUGUCCACUAUACGAAGAUCAGUUGCACUGUACCAUUCCUUUGGGUCCCAAGGUUGUCUUCACCAAGUCGGCUAUUGCCAUAGCUCCAAUAAAAGAAGCCUGGUACAUACCAAAUGCUAAUCCUUGUUAGGAGGGAAAAAAGCUGCAUUUAAACAAUUGCAUAACUCAUAGUUUCGGUAGAUCCAGAUCCACACUAGUCUCUAAUACUCUUCAGCAGUGUACAAAUUACAUGUUACUAAAUGAAACUAUCAUUAACUUGUAGUAAUACUAACUUACCAUUCUAGCCCUUUCUCCCUUUUCUUCGUGGCUUCAUCUUUAAAAAGUUUCUCAACCUACAAUACUCAAAGGAAAAAAGAAUAAAUGUAUGCAAAAUUUGUACAACAUAUUAUUGUGAUAAAGAAAAAGCAAUUCAAGGCCACAAAAUUAUUAACAUACCGCCAUUGUGAAGGAACUUGGCAGAGAAAAAACUGAACCACAAGUGCUCAAAGAUAAUAAUGAUCUGAAACAAGAAAAAACCAUGCUUUCUUCAAUGUAAGCCAAAGAAAACCAUAAUUAACUGUUUGAUAUUUUUAUCCAAGUAAUUCCUUCAAAAUACAAGAAUCUAACUUCCUCAUCUUCAUUAUUUUUUUCAUGAACAACGUGCCCUCAGCCCAUGACCUUUUAAAGCGACUCAAAAUGAAUAAAAAAUUAUUCAAAACAGCAGAAAAACAAGCAUUACUUUUGAGACCAACGGAGCAAAAAGAAUCAAAGUGGCCACAUACACCACACUAACUUAAUUAAGCGAAAAAAAUGUGUUUAUUAGUCAUUCAUUUUAUACCCUUUCUUAGUUGGCAAACAGUGCAAUGCCUCUACUCACCGAACUGUUCAAUGCUCAUCUCAUCAUUAAAUCUAAAUGUAGAAAUCAGGUUAAAAAAACUAAUAUUUAAUCAAUGACUCCAUUUUUCUACCUCCUAAACAAACCCAAAUUGCACAGCCCUACUUUAUACCAUCGCUAUACCACUCCCCAUUCCCAAAAAAAUUACCAAUCUGGAAACUAUUAGGUCUAAAAGCAGUCUAAUUCCACCACAAAGUGCGAGUACUUAAUGGAAGAAAAUUGAAAAUUUUUACACAAAAAUACGAGCUCAAAUUAAAAACGUAAUACUUCCAACAUAUUAGUGAGGGAUGUAAGAAUUUACCCUAGAUUUCGAAAUGGAUAGUUGUUGAUUGGUGGCAAAGAACUCAACCUGCUUGCUUUUUCUUGAACGACGGUUAAAGACGGUGGAGAUGGCUGAAGUGGUGGUUUGCGGCCGCUGCAGCAGAGGAGAGAGGGAAAGAGGGCACGGGGUUUUGAGUAAUGGCGCUGUAUGAAGGUUUUGAGUGCGUACUUUGUAGUGCUUCGACCUUAGGCUGUGUUUGGAAGUGCUAGAACAUUGUAGAGACUAGGAAAUUAGGGUCAAAUUCACAAUAAUAAUGACAAAAUAAAAAACUACAAACAAUAAAAAGUGUGUUUUGAUGUGGAUUAUUUGGGAUAAUUUUUUCAAAAAAAAACACUAUAACUCUUUUUUAUGCGAUGUAUGUCAAAUAAAAAGAUGGUUGAAAAAUUUGUUGAUAAUGCAAGCAAAUAAAUUUUGACAAAUAAUAUACUAUCCUAACAAUUUAUUAACUAGUAUUUUGACCCGCGCAUUAGCCUGGUUCUUUUAUUAGCAUAAGUUGUGAAUUUAUACAAGUAUGAAUAAUUCAAAAAAAGAUAAAACAAUAUUCUUAUGUAUUCAUGAAUAUUUAUGUUGGAAAAUUAAUCAUUUGUUUGGGUACAAAAUUUUUUCUCAAAUAAUAUUUUAUUUGAAUCGUAAACAGAUUUUCAACAAUGUUUUCAUCACAUAUAUAUCACAUCACAAAAAAUAUUAGAGUAUUUUCAAAUAAUCCCCUAUCUAAACACACCCAAUGUUUUCAAGUGGUCAAGUACCAUUUUACUUUUUGAAAACUUCUAUACAUACAUUUAUUUUAACAUAAUACUACUAUUUAUUAAAUAUUCUUUUCAUUAAUCAUUGGAUUUUUAUAUGAUUAGAAACCUUAAACUAUAUCUUUGUACUCAACUAAUUACCAAAUAUGCAAAAAUAUAUUUUCUUUAUUAUGAAUAUUAAUUUUCUAGCAAUGUGAAUGUAGUAGAAAUUAAAAUAAAACUUUUAAUAUGCAAAAAAGUUGCGCGACCAACAGGGGAAGAAAGGGGAGGGUUCCGAGAGGGGGAAAAGGAAGAGGGAGGGAUGGAGGAGAGAGAGAGGACAGGAAAAAAAGAAACUGAUGCUUGUAGGGAAAGUUGGGUGGUGCCAAUGGGGAGGGAGGAAGGAGGGGAGAGGGAGGGAGGAAAAAGGAAGGGAAAACAAAGGAAAAGGAAAAGGAAAAGAAGAAAAAUUAUUUUCCCAACUCUCAAAUAUACCAAAAUUUUUCUACUAAUUUUAUAUUAAAAUUAUAAUAAAAUUUUAUACACACGCUCAAAAAGCACACCUUCCCAGCAGAAUAUCCAUUUACAUUAUGCUGGAGAGUUAAUUGUUUCUUCAAUUUUACGAGUGUUUGUUUAGUUUCAAAAGGAAGACAUACCAAAAUUUCAUUUUCUUGGAACUGAAAGAUAAAAUUUAUGACUUUUACAACUCUAUAGUCAAUUCGUCAUAUCAAAUACUACUACUAUUAAGUUACACACAACCUAGCAUUCUUUACCCAGUUUGCCAAAUGUCAUGGCCAUUUACUCCAAAAUAUAUCCCCGAAUCAGCUGGCUAGUUUCUCAUUAAGAGAUUCU